rnacentral:rRNA from 1 species
UCAGGGAACUGAAACAUCUAAGUACCUGAAGGAAGAGAAAGAAAUUCGAUUCCGUAAGUAGCGGCGAGCGAACGCGGAUUAGCCCAAACCAAUAAAGUUUUCUUUAUUGGGGUUGCGGCCAUAUCAUCACGAAGAGGUAUCGUAAUUGAAGAGGUUUGGAAAGACCCACCACAGAAGGUAAUAGUCCUGUAUGUUAAACGAGAAGACUUCAGAUAUGAUCCAGAGUACCACGGGACACGUGAAACCCUGUGGGAA